AAUUCCUUUUGAUAGACGCGUCCACCAUUGUUGCGCGCGACAAUGGUGACCGUGAUCUAUUCCAAAAUGCUGAU